CCUACGGGUGGCAGCAGUGGGGAAUAUUGCACAAUGGGCGAAAGCCUGACGCAGCGACGCCGCGUGAGGGAUGAAGGUCUUCGGAUCGUAAACCUCUGUCAGCGGGGAAGAACGGUCACUUUGCUAAUCCUCCGUUCAUUGACGGUACCUGCAAAGGAAGCACCGGCUAACUCCGUGCCAGCAGCCGCGUUAAUACGGAGGGUGCGAGCGUUAAUCGGAAUUACUGGGCGUAAAGCGCUCGUAGGUGGUAUGUCAAGUCAAGGGUGAAAUCCCCGCGCUCAACGUGGGAACUGCCUUUGAAACUGGCAAACUGGAGUGUGUGAGAGGGUAGUGGAAUUCCAGGUGUAGGAGUGAAAUGCGUAGAGAUCUGGAGGAACAUCAGUGGCGAAGGCGACCAGCUGGAACAUAACUGACGCUGAGGAGCGAAAGCGUGGGUAGCAAACAGGAUUAGAUACCCGGGUAGUC
rnacentral:rRNA from 1 species